GACGAACGCUGGCGGCGUGCCUAAUACAUGCAAGUUGAGCGAUGAAGAUUGGUGCUUGCACCAAUUUGAAGAGCAGCGAACGGGUGAGUAACGCGUGGGGAAUCUGCCUUUGAGCGGGGGACAACAUUUGGAAACGAAUGCUAAUACCGCAUAAUAACUUUAAACAUAAGUUUUAAGUUUGAAAGAUGCAAUUGCAUCACUCAAAGAUGAUCCCGCGUUGUAUUAGCUAGUUGGUGAGGUAAAGGCUCACCAAGGCGAUGAUACAUAGCCGACCUGAGAGGGUGAUCGGCCACAUUGGGACUGAGACACGGCCCAAACUCCUACGGGAGGCAGCAGUAGGGAAUCUUCGGCAAUGGACGAAAGUCUGACCGAGCAACGCCGCGUGAGUGCAGAAGGUUUUCGGAUCGUAAAACUCUGUUGGUAGAGAAGAACGUUGGUGAGAGUGGAAAGCUCAUCAAGUGACGGUAACUACCCAGAAAGGGACGGCUAACUACGUG
rnacentral:rRNA from 1 species